UACGGAGGGUGCGAGCGUUGUCCGGAUUUAUUGGGUUUAAAGGGUGCGUAGGCGGUUUAUUAAGUCAGUGGUGAAAGACGGUCGCUCAACGAUUGCAGUGCCAUUGAUACUGGUAGACUUGAGUUCGUAUGAGGUAGCUGGAAUGGAUAGUGUAGCGGUGAAAUGCAUAGAUAUUAUCCAGAACUCCAAUUGCGUAGGCAGGUUACUAAUACGAUACUGACGCUGAUGCACGAAAGUGUGGGGAUCAGACAGG
rnacentral:rRNA from 1 species